AAUUAAAGAUAUUCAAGAGAUCUCUUGGAAAGUCUCCAAAGAAGCUUCAAGAUGGGCUCUUGAUGAAUCACCGGGUGACGUCCCCAAAGCAGGUGACUUCGGCACCGGGCACGGAGAAUGAACAAAGGGGAAGAUAACCGAAGAGCCACCAGAUCCUCCAGGGGACCUCUAGAUUCAGUUCAAGAUGCACAAAGCCAUUCUCGCACUUCGAAUAGCUUACAAAAUCACAUGCCAAGAAAGCUGAAUAAGCUGCGAGCGUCCUCUGGAUGCCAGCUGACUAGCCGCAAACGAAAGCUUUCCAACGAGGCUGCUGAAAGUAUUCCAGUUAGGGAACCAAAGACCAACGAUGAUAAAUCGGCAGAUCAUCAAAAUUCCGAUGACAUUUUAGAAAGACUUUCAGCUGUUCCUGACAGAGCAGAACCAUCAAGGGAACAAGCUUUCGAUGCCUCCGGGCUACAAGUGCCGAAUACAGAUAAUAGUUGUGGAAUUCGUGAAUCUGACGAAGAUAAUCAAAUUGUGCAACGCGUAGUCGAGGAGGCUAUGGACGCUGUAGUGCGGGAGGAAGAAAAAGACAUGGACGAAGACACUCGCCGGAUUAGGGAAGCUGAAGCUGCUCUCAGGUCACUCUCUGGAGAUUUUGAGCCAGACACUGGCAUGGACAUUUUCACAGGUGUGUGUGGUGUAGUGACUACAGAACGUCCUUUCUUCGAAAAUCUAUUUGAAAAGAAAGAAGAGGUGGCGCCAAAGACAGCGGAAGUAGUAACGAACUCGUGGAAGGACGUUGUAACUCUUAGCGCCUCCUCAAGCUCUUGCUGUAGCAGCGAGAGAUCACCUCUCAGGUCUCCAAUUCUCUCUCCUAUGGUUAGUACCCACAAUAUUAAGGAAGAAAGAAGGGAUGAACCAGAACCGGUCACCAGCCCUCAGUUCCCUCAACCAAAAGAAGAGGAAUUUUCUCCUCAGGGAGCGCUGCGAUCUCAGCAACAUCCCCAACAGCUACCCCAGCCCCAAACACCGAUUAGCUCUCCAGAGACCAACUUCAGUGUGCCAGCUUCUGUGGACGCCAAACCGCAAAGUUGCACAAGUCAGUACAGUUCUGCCGAUGAGGUUUUCGAUGAGUUCACGCCCUUGCCUCCGGCGCAGCCCCAGGACGAUAGUAGGAGCGUAGACGGAGUUGCUCCAAAUUCAGGGGCGGUUGUUAAUGACGGAGAGCCAUACGACGUCGCAAGCCUACUCAAAAUAGAAGAGGAAUGUGCCAAUAUCCAGUCUCUUGUAGAAUCAGAUGGUUUCACAAUGCAUACGGACGCUUACUCUAGGGAUCAACAUCAAAUGCAUGAUCUUAAACCGACCAAUAUGCAUGACAUAAGACAACAUCUUCAUCAUCAACCGCAACAACCACCACCACCACCUCAACAAUACUGCCGAAUGGAGGACAGUUAUGUUGGUGCUGGGGACUACUUUCCAUCUUACGCGUGUCCACCAACUAGCCCCGCAUCUAGAAGGUACCUUCUUCUCGAUUCCAAACUUCAGGAACCUAUCAAGAGACCACUCUCAUUCGAAGAACACUUAUUACCGUUGCCUGAAGAUGACCAUCCCUUGGUCAUCGACGAAGGGCGACAACAGCAUCGUUAUGGGGGAUUAGAAGAUGAGGACGACAGUAAUUCCUUGCAGUCAUGUAGUCAGCAGAGCGGUAGCACGCCACAUUAUAAUAACAGCUGCUGUGAGAUGAUGCCUUCUCCUCACUCUGAUAUGGGUGAUGGGAGGAGGAUGCUUGAGUGUCAACAACCCUCACCACAAGAUCCGUCACUUAGAGACGGAAAAUGUCCUACUCCAGGCUGCAAUGGCUCUGGCCAUGUUACUGGUCUGUAUUCUCAUCACCGAAGUUUAUCAGGCUGCCCGAGGAAAGACAGGAUAACACCUGAAAUUUUAGCCUUACAUGAGACAAUACUGAACUUAUCUGGUUGUCCCAUUGCCGCAAUGGAGAAAAUGGUACAAAAGGAACAAAGAGCUACGCCAAAACCAUCACCCCCAGUUGGACAAAUUCCCUCUGGUCCGUCAUCUCCUGACUGUGUUAUGAGGACAUUAUGUUACGUCAAACAUACGGAUAUGCCGGACUAUAGGUAUCCCAUGUAUGGACAGCCCGUUCGAUCUCCUAUGGAUAAAUACGGGCGAUCACAAACACCAGACUACAAUUCAUAUGACAGUCAAAGGUUUUACGGCAGGCCAAUGGUACCUAAGAUUAAAUCAGAAUCACCAGACGGGCAGACGAUGAUGAAUAAAUCAAACCUGCCAUUGCCCUCCAUGUGUGUUGGUCAGAGGAAUUCCGUUGUGGUAUCAUCAAAACAAAUAUAUUCUCCACCUCCUCCACCAACCGGUGAUUCAGAGCAGACAGAACCUGUCGACUUCUCUACCGGACAUGACGAACGAGUGAGGCCGGACUUAGCCGGACCUCACAUGUUACCUAAUCCCACACCUUCACCCUCACCCAGGUCGCCGGCCGCGGGACGGUCUCCCUUGGAUGCAUCACCACACUGCCCCCCGCAACAUGCCCCUUACCCACAAAGUCCUCUAGGACCACCCCCUCCGGCGGAUAGGAUACAGCAUCAUCAUUUGAUGCCUUCACCUCCGGAGUAUGUACCAGAAAAAUGCAUGCAGCCAAAAAUGAAAAGUCGCGGAAGGGAAGGACGGGAAUUAAUUCAUUGCCCUACCCCCGGAUGUGACGGCAUGGGACAUAUAUCCGGAAAUUACGCAACACACCGAAGCCUAUCUGGUUGUCCACAUGCAGAUCGAUCUCAAAUUCAAGCCCAACACCAGGAAUUAAAACCCAACUUGUGCUACAAUGAGAAAUCCAGUGGGCAAUGGUAUAGGUAUCCAAGCAGCCAGCAUGAUAAAUCAAUGUCACCAAUUCUCAGAUGUCCUACUCCUGGAUGUGAUGGUUCUGGCCACGUUACUGGAAAUUAUUCAUCACAUCGCAGUCUAUCAGGCUGUCCUAGGGCGAAUAAACCCAAGAAAAUGGUAAACAGAGAAGACAAAAAUGAUUCUGAACCACUCAGAUGCCCAAUACCUGGAUGUGAUGGUUCAGGACAUGUAACUGGAAAAUUUCAAUCUCACAGAAGUAACUGGUGUGGAGGAUCUUUCCAACAUCCGAGCCCUGGAAGAAGAGAUAAUGGAACUCCAGGAAUACAAUGCCCGAGUGGAAUCGGAGAUGUACCAGCUCCGAACAGAUAUCACCCAAAUGGAGCAACCACAGAGACAUUCGGACCGAGAGAGUCCUCAUUCCACUGCUCAGAAGACAAACCACCUGACAGAGUAUUACGAAUCCCUUCGGAACAAUUUCAUCAACCUCCUGGACCACGUCCGGUUACCCAACUUAGACGAGAAACCUACCCCGGACAAUUUCGACACGUACUUGAACAGACUUCAGUCUCUCUGUGCGGACAACUCUAAAGAAGAAGAAAAUCGGAAUGUUUUCUCAACGGUCAAACAAGCAUUGCAGGACUUCUCCGCACCCAUGCAACAAGCCAAUGGUUGGGUAAGGUCUUGAAGUUUUGUAAUUGACCAUAGAUCCCUAUUCUACCUCCCACCAAACUCUGCCAGCUGGAGUUGCAAAACGGCACUAACGCUCAUACGCUUGUACAUAAAAAAUUGAGCUCUGCAUAUGGAACUCAUCAUACCAAGCAUAAAUACGUGUAAUUCCCGAGAGAAUUUUUAUUGAGAAAUUAUUAAAAAACUCUCUAACAUAGUUUAAAAGAAUAUUGUAUUGUAUAUAAAGGGAAGACUUCUAGUCUUCUCUUAGAGUAGAAGGCGACGAAGCUGAAACUAUAUGUCAACGAGUUCAAACGCAGAGGUCAACUGAAGAACGCUCACUUUCCAGUCACUUCUCUUCGUUUGACACUCCUGUUGCUGUUGAAGUUUACAAAGUUAGAAGGUAUAGAAGAUUAAAUAUUUGUAGAUUGCUUCCAACUGUUAGUUUUAAAAUACAGUCUUUCAGUGAUUAAGCAAAAUCAAAUUACAGAAAAAGAAAAAAUAGCUUUUGUUAUGCUUUUAUGGCAACUGAACCUCAACCAAAACUAUUCCAGUCAAAUACGAGUAUCAAACCAGGUAUACAAUACGUAAAAUAAUCUACGCUACUUGAAAAUGAUUUCUCAGACCUUGUUAAUUACGCCUCAGAAAGCCCAAAAAAUAGGACAAAUACCUUUUAGUAUGGACGAAGACUGAAAACAGUUGUUGUAGAACGUCGAACCGAACGUCGGAAAUGGCGUCAAAAUGUGAAUUUCUGGAAACUUCGUCUGUGUUAGUUCAUGUAAAUAGCUUCUUCCAGUGAACUUGAACGUAGUUCAACUAUUAUAUGAUGUGAUUCUCUCACCACCUGCAGGGAUUUAGACCCAUAGUGAUUUGUAAAUCACUUUUGUUGUUGGCGCUUUUUUUAAGUGUGUCCAUGUUACUGACGAAUGUAUAGUGUUAGAUCAUUUCGUUUCCUCAUCGCAAAGAAUUUAUGUUUCUCACAUUCGCGUAUUUCACAGUCAUACAUAACACAUUUUUUCGCGAUCUAUUUUUAUGGACUGAACCAUAUAACUACUUAGUUUUUCUGGUCUCACUUUAGCUCUAGAAGUGAUUUGCUCAUUUAUUUAGAAUAUAGCAACACUUUCAACAAAAUUCGUUGUACAUACUGAGAAACAAUGAAUAUCCAGCAGUUUGAAAAAUGUCAGAGAAAUAUGCAUAUAUGUAAUUCCAAAGAAUUCUAAAACAGUUAAUUAUAAUGGUAAGUUUAUUAUAAAUAAUUGUAUCAGUAUCCAUGCUCAUGGACGAAUUGUGCAUCAGAACUGUAAAAUAUUUGUUAAACAUUAUUCUAAUCUGAAUAAUGAAUAUAAAAUUAUUACAAAUUACGGUUUGGUAGAUCUGGUUAAAAUGCAUAUCACGGAAUACGGAACUCUAACAACCUAAC
rnacentral:misc_RNA from 1 species